rnacentral:lncRNA from 1 species
GGAGGAGGAAGAGGAGGAGGUGGAGGAGGAGGAGGAAGAGGAGGAGGAGGAGGAGGUGAAGGAGGAGGAGGAGGAAGAGGAGGAAGAGGAGGAGGAGGUGGAGGAGGAGGAAGAGGAGGAGGAGGAGGUGAAGGAGGAGGAAGAGGUGAAGGAGGAGGAAGAGGAGGAAGAGGAGGAGGAGGAGGUGGAGGAGGAGGAAGAGGAGGAGGAGGAGGUGAAGGAGGAGGAAGAGGAGGAAGAGGAGGAGGAGGUGGAGGAGGAGGAAGAGGAGGAGGAGGUGAAGGAGGAGGAAGAGGUGAAGGAGGAGGAAGAGGAGGAAGAGGAGGAGGAGGAGGUGGAGGAGGAGGAGGAGGUGGAGGAGGAGGAAGAGGAGGAGGAGGAAGAGGAAGCUGAGGAGGAAGAGGAGGAGGAAGAGGAGGAAGAGGAGGAGGAAGAGGAAGAGGAGGAAGAGGAGGCUGAGGAGGAAGAGGAGGAGGUGGAGGAAGAGGAGGCUGAGGAGGAGAAAGAGGAGGAAGAGGAGGAGGAAGAGGAGGAAGAGGAGAAAAAGGAGGAAGAGGAGGAGGAAGAGGAAGAGGAGGAGGAGGAGGAGGUGGAGGAGGAGGAAGAGGAGGAGGAAGAGGAAGAGGAGGAAGAGGAAGCUGAGGAGGAAGAGGAAGAGGAGGAGGAAGAGGAAGAGGAGGAGG